rnacentral:rRNA from 1 species
AAUGAACGCUGGCGGCAUGCCUAACACAUGCAAGUCGAACGAGACCUUCGGGUCUAGUGGCGCACGGGUGCGUAACGCGUGGGAAUCUGCCCUUGGGUUCGGAAUAACAGUGAGAAAUUACUGCUAAUACCGGAUAAUGACGUAAGUCCAAAGAUUUAUCGCCCAAGGAUGAGCCCGCGUAGGAUUAGCUAGUUGGUGAGGUAAAGGCUCACCAAGGCGACGAUCCUUAGCUGGUCUGAGAGGAUGAUCAGCCACACUGGGACUGAGACACGGCCCAGACUCCUACGGGAGGCAGCAGUGGGGAAUAUUGGACAAUGGGCGAAAGCCUGAUCCAGCAAUGCCGCGUGAGUGAUGAAGGCCUUAGGGUUGUAAAGCUCUUUUACCCGGGAUGAUAAUGACAGUACCGGGAGAAUAAGCCCCCGGCUAACUCCGUGCCAGCAGCCGCUGUAAU